UACAGUAGCAUAUCGCCCUGUAGCCCAAGACUGGUUGCCCACUGAAGCUAAGCAGGGUUGAGCCUGGUCAGUACCUCGAUGGGAGACCUCCUGGGAAAACUAGGUUGCUGCUAGAA
rnacentral:rRNA from 1 species